UACGUAGGUGGCAAGCGUUAUCCGGAAUUAUUGGGCGUAAAGAGCGCGCAGGUGGUUGAUUAAGUCUGAUGUGAAAGCCCACGGCUUAACCGUGGAGGGUCAUUGGAAACUGGUCGACUUGAGUGCAGAAGAGGGAAGUGGAAUUCCAUGUGUAGCGGUGAAAUGCGUAGAGAUCAGGAGGAACACCAGUGGCGAAGGCGGCUUCCUGGUCUGUAACUGACACUGAGGCGCGAAAGCGUGGGGAGCAAACAGGAUUAGAUA
rnacentral:rRNA from 1 species